AAAGAGGGAGAGAUCUGCGCCAGCAUCUUGUCAGAGAAAGUCUAAAGUUUAUUUCCUUGGAAACAUCUUUGCGGAAGAGAUUUCAUCGCAAGCACGACCUGAGACGGGAUCGAAAAAGAUUGUUUACCAAACAACAGCGAUGGCGAAUCUUCGGCAGUUCACCAGAACUCGGAGACUCAAGAUGUGUUUGGUUCUUCUGGUACUCCUGACUGUGUUGCUUUUAACUGGACAUGGA
rnacentral:misc_RNA from 1 species